rnacentral:rRNA from 1 species
GGGAAUAUUGCACAAUGGGCGGAAGCCUGAUGCAGCAACGCCGCGUGCGGGAUGGCGGCCUUCGGGUUGUAAACCGCUUUCGCCUGUGACGAAGCGUGAGUGACGGUAAUGGGUAAAGAAGCACCGGCUAACUCCGUGCCAGCAGCCGCGGUGAUACGUAGGGUGCGAGCGUUGUCCGGAUUUAUUGGGCGUAAAGGGCUCGUAGGUGGUUGAUCGCGUCGGAAGUGUAAUCUUGGGGCUUAACCCUGAGCGUGCUUUCGAUACGGGUUGACUUGAGGAAGGUAGGGGAGAGUGGAAUUCCUGGUGGAGCGGUGGAAUGCGCAGAUAUCAGGAGGAACACCAGUGGCGAAGGCGGUUCUCUGGGCCUUUCCUGACGCUGAGGAGCGAAAGCGUGGGGAGCGAAC